GCAAGUCGUGCGAGAAAGUUCUUCGGAUAUGAGUAGAGCGGCGGACGGGUGAGUAACGCGUAGGAAUCUACCUAGUAGAAGGGGAUAGCCCGGGGAAACCCGGAUUAAUACCGUAUACCUCCUUCGGGAGAAAGAAGGCCUCUCUUUGAAGCUUUCGCUACUAGAUGAGCCUGCGUAAGAUUAGCUUGUUGGUGAGGUAAAGGCUCACCAAGGCUACGAUCUUUAGCUGGUCUGAGAGGACGAUCAGCCACAUUGGGACUGAGACACGGCCCAGACUCCUACGGGAGGCAGCAGUGGGGAAUAUUGGACAAUGGGCGCAAGCCUGAUCCAGCCAUACCGCGUGUGUGAAGAAGGCCUUCGGGUUGUAAAGCACUUUAAGCAGGGAGAAAAAGUUAUAAGUUAAUACCUUAUAACCCUGAUGUUACCUGCAGAAUAAGCACCGGCUAAUUCCGUGCCAGCAGCCGCGGUAAUACGGAAGGUGCAAGCGUUAAUCGGAAUUACUGGGCGUAAAGCGCGCGUAGGUGGUUUGUUAAGUUGGAUGUGAAAGCCCUGGGCUCAACCUAGGAACUGCAUCCAAAACUAACUCACUAGAGUACGAUAGAGGGAGGUAGAAUUCAUAGUGUAGCGGUGGAAUGCGUAGAUAUUAUGAAGAAUACCAGUGGCGAAGGCGGCCUCCUGGAUCUGUACUGACACUGAGGUGCGAAAGCGUGGGUAGCGAACAGGAUUAGAUACCCUGGUAGUCCACGCCGUAAACGAUGACAACUAGCUGUUGGGAGACUAUGUCUUUCAGUGGCGCAGCUAACGCUUUAAGUUGUCCGCCUGGGGAGUACGGC
rnacentral:rRNA from 1 species